rnacentral:rRNA from 1 species
AGUCGAGCGGUAGAGAGAAGCUUGCUUCUCUUGAGAGCGGCGGACGGGUGAGUAAUGCCUAGGAAUCUGCCUGGUAGUGGGGGAUAACGUUCGGAAACGGACGCUAAUACCGCAUACGUCCUACGGGAGAAAGCAGGGGACCUUCGGGCCUUGCGCUAUCAGAUGAGCCUAGGUCGGAUUAGCUAGUUGGUGAGGUAAUGGCUCACCAAGGCGACGAUCCGUAACUGGUCUGAGAGGAUGAUCAGUCACACUGGAACUGAGACACGGUCCAGACUCCUACGGGAGGCAGCAGUGGGGAAUAUUGGACAAUGGGCGAAAGCCUGAUCCAGCCAUGCCGCGUGUGUGAAGAAGGUCUUCGGAUUGUAAAGCACUUUAAGUUGGGAGGAAGGGCAGUUACCUAAU